ACUUGCAUAUUUCAAAAGCGGAGGAAAAGAAACCAACAGGGAUUCCCCUAGUAACGGCGAGUGAAGCGGGAACAGCUCAAAUUUGAAAUCUGGCCCUUGGGUCCGAGUUGUAAUUUGCAGAGGAUGCUUUUGGUGCGGUGCCUUCCGAGUUCCCUGGAACGGGACGCCUUAGAGGGUGAGAGCCCCGUACGGUUGGACACCAAGCCUAUGUAAAGCUCCUUCGACGAGUCGAGUAGUUUGGGAAUGCUGCUCAAAAUGGGAGGUAUAUUUCUUCUAAAGCUAAAUAUUGGCCAGAGACCGAUAGCGCACAAGUAGAGUGAUCGAAAGAUGAAAAGCACUUUGAAAAGAGGGUUAAAUAGCACGUGAAAUUGUUGAAAGGGAAGGAUUUAUGACCAGACUUUUUCUAGGGGGAUCAUCCGGUGUUCUCACCGGUGCACUUCCCCUAGUUGAGGCCAGCAUCGGUUUCUGUCGAGGGAUAAAAGCUUUAGGAAUGUGGCUCUCUCCGGGGAGUGUUAUAGCCUGUUGCAUAAUACCUUGACGGGGACCGAGGUUCGCGCAUUGCAAGGAUGCUGGCGUAAUGGUUAUUAAUCACCCGUCUUGAACACCGGGGACCCAAACGC
rnacentral:rRNA from 1 species